UCCAUUGAGGUCCCUCUGAAUGGAAUCUCUUCCUUCCACCGUGUCAACUGCACCUCUCAGCUUGGUGUCAUUACAGACUUGCUGAGGGUGCACUCAGUUCUGUCAUUGAUGUCACUGAUAAUGUAGGGAAUGUGUUAAUUGCUUGAGAAGUCCACACGACCAUCUUACACAGUAAGCUCCUUUAAUAAUAGGGCGUUAAAAAAUUUCAGAGAUCUAAAGAGCGACAUUGUCUUUAGUAAAUCUUUCUAAAAAAUGAAAUGCCGAGUGAAGUUCACAGCACUGUUUUGAACUUCAUAUUUCUUUUCUGAAUUUGUGCUUUCAUACUUGAGGAAAACAUGGGAUGAAGCAGUGGGAAAGUUCAAGAUGAAUGGAUGUUGCAAGCAUGCUGUAAAAGGCACUCAAGGCCAGGCUGGACGUGGCUCAGGACAACCUGGUCUAGAGGUUGGUGACCCUCCCACAUAACAGGGGGGUUGAAACUAGAUGAUCACUGUGGUCCUUUUCAACCCAGGCCAUUCUGUGAUUUGUAUAAUCAAUGAAUAUUAAGAUGUUAUCAUUACAAAAUAAACAAGAGAGUUAGGCAAAGCAGGUUAUGAUAACAAAAAGAGAAUAGAUAGAAAGCUUACCCGUAUCCUAGGCUCACUUACAAAACUCCAGCAAAGCGGAUCUCCAGACGAGAUCCUUUCCCACUGGUAGCCAGCUCUUAAAUAGGUCUAGGAGAGGUGGAGCCAGGCUCCACCCCUUCUGGCAGCACAGGUGAAUUGCCUUCACCUGUACUCCUGUGGCUGACUCAUGGCUUGCCUUGGGUGAUUAAUCAGAGGUUCAGGCCAUGACCCAGCAGUUCCCAUACAGUGGUUCUAUGACUACAUCCUGAACUUGGAAACAAGCCUGAGAAUACUUGUGUACACUUACAGUAUGUUACUGGUAGAUUAAUUGGGGCUUACUGUUUUACAUGUUCUAAGGAAGAACAUGCAAAACUUCAGACAGUUGUGUUUAUCUGUACUGAUACUUCUGCGGAUUGCAAAGUAUUCAAGCAGUGUGUAUGUGAGCUGUCUCUGAAAGGUGGAAAAGCAGAAGUUUGAUUGGCUUAAACUUAGGAGCAAAAUACCAUAUGUACCUUCCUCACGGAAAACAAUGUUCCUGUUGCACUGCCAUCCAUUCAGUUCUUUGAUAUAGCUUGGUGCAGUGCGAGCAUGGAAGCAUAAAAAAAGGCAUCCGUUGUCUACUGAGGCAUCCAAACAAUCUUGUACCUCUUACACAUUCUUUCCUGUUAAGUAACUUGAUCCACCUUCUAUCAUUAUACUGCUUAUUUAAAUUUGGAUACUUGGCACAGAGCAUCUUGUGUGCAUGUCGUGCACAGAAUGCGUUAGGUGAUCUGUGAGUUUCCAGCAGCGCAUUAGGUAACAUGGCAGGUUCUCCAAGUGAAAGUUGUGCAGUUUUUGUAGGCUUUUCUAUCUGGUGAAUGCACUGAGACCAAACAGGGCAAGUAGUUCUUGGGUUGAUCUCAAGUAAGAUUUAUUUUGACUAAUGAUUUUUUUUUCUAUUUAAUUUUUAUCUUGCCUAUCAAAAUAUCUCGCUCCUUUUAGACUGGUAUAAUGAUCUUCAGGUCUGCCUUCAGCAGGAAUGUGUUGUGUCCUAAAAAUGUAUCAUAAGUUUGAAUAGCAGAGUAAAACAAGUGCAUUGCUUCAUAGUAAUCCUUUAGAAUGAUCUGGGUUGAAAAGGACCACAAUGAUCAUCUAUUUUCAACCCCCUUGCUACGUGCAGGGUUGCAAACCACUAGACCAGGCUGCCCAGAGCCACAUCCAGUCUGGCCUUGAAUGCCUCCAGGGAUGGGGAUUUACAACCUCCUUGAGCAAUCUGUUCCAGUGUGUAGUAACAAACCUAACUGGGUUCUGAACGGAGACCUAGAAAACAGAAUAGACCAGGCAAAUAGGUAAACUGUGUCUCCUGUAAGCAGAACUUUACUGAGUGUAAUCCUGAAAGGGUUUUUUUGGCUUAUUCGUUGUGUUUUGCCGUAGGCUUUGGCAUGAACAGCAGAAGUGUGGAAGCACCAGCUGCUAGAAUGAGUGUCAGCUAGAAGCUUCAGAAGCUGUUUUUGGUGGCUCCUUCUUUGCCAGAGCCCAUGUUCUGUUCUCCUUGCUACUGGCUUUGUUUUAUGUUAGCGCAGACUUGCAGCAGAAUGAUCCAGACUUGAUGGAAGAAGUUUAUUGCUGGCUGCUGAGAGCGUGACUUGAUGUUCUGUAAGCUGGUUUUUGGGGUUGUUUUUUUUUUUUUUGAAGUACAUACACUAAAUGCAGAUGGGUUGCAGAAAUGCUGAGCAGUUCUGUUAUUCUUUUCCUUUGCAAUAGCAUUUCUCUUGAUUGCAAAUCCUCAUUUCAGUAAAACUAAAGAUGUUGGUAGUCCUUUAGUACUAAAUCAAUUGAAGGACACAAAUUCUUCUGUUCCAGUUUCUAAAUAUCUGACAUAAAGCCCACAAAUCGAUUGUGUGACUGCCUACAUUGAAUCACUCUGAAGUUGGUCUUUUUAUCUCUUUAUGAGAAAGAUGCAUUUUUAAUAGCGAGCACUUGAGCAGCAUUGUCCUCAGUGUGCGAUGCAGCAGACUGCAGCAGAGGUAGGAGUGCAGAAGGGCUGUGUGAUCAGUACGGUAUUGCCUGGAUGGGUCUAAAAGCAUUUGUAUCAGGGGAGCUAGCAGUUACAGCGGUUUGUUUCCUGUCUUUCUGGGUUGAGAAGAGUUAUUGAUAUAUAGGCUUCAGCUGGCAUUUGGGUGUGUUUUUAUGUGAGAUUAAGAACCUUUCUUCAGUGUGGAAUGCCCGAUACGCAGCAGGAUAUGAUACGUGGCUUAUUUGUUUUAGCCUGUGCUUUGCUGCAGCAGCUGGCUUCUGCUCUCCCAUCUUGUGGCUGUGCAGCUUAACCCUAUCUGAAAUGGGAGUAAUGUCUGUCUGAUUCCUGUAAAAAUUUGCUCAUUUUUGUGGUUUCUAGUCAAUGGAUGUUGAACUUUGAAUAAUGAACAAAACAUUGAGUAUGGAAUUCUGGGACAGCAUUUUGCUUCUCUUUGUUCCUCUCUGCUUUCUGUUUGUUUUCAAAUAAGCACAGAUCACCAGUGGGACUGCAGCUAUUCAAAUAGAGGCAGCUCCCAGUCCCAAGCCAGGAAGCGCUUGGCCCCCGAAGCGUAACGUCUGCUGCGCUGCCAGGCUGCAAGCUGAGCAGUAGAUGUGCUCAGCGCUGCCAGAUGACCACCAGCCCCUGCCGAGUGUAGAUCUUCUCAACUCUCACUGAUAGCAGGAAUCUGCUGCUGAGUGUUUGUGCUCUCUGCACCAAGGUUCGGUGACAGCUUUGCCUGAACAUGCCUCUGCUCCUGAGCUGGAGCCCAUGCCGUAAGCGCUCUGACUUCUGUCACUGCUAUUCAAGAAAGCGUGUGGUAUCUCCAUGGAGAUACUCUGCCUGGAAUUGUGACAAAAAAAAAAGCAUGGAGGAGAACUGCUGCAUGCAUGAUUUAGUAGACUUGAUGUACUCUCUAUUUUACAACUUCUAGCUAUAAGUGCUGAAUCUUAUUGUAGAUGGUGCAGAACUUGACUAGUGAGAUCCAUUCCGAUUUGAGCACAGCUGAUGUUCCUUAUUGGAUCAACGCACUGAAUCAGAUCUAACUGGGUAAAGUGAUUCAUACAACGCUAGGCUAUUCAAAUAUGCAUGAUAACUGAUUUAGAUUCCCAAGAGGCUUUUUCCUUAAUUAGACUUAUCAGAGGCAUCAUGUUUCCUUAGAGUGAAAUAUUGUCUCGUUAAAGUUGUUGUAAAGUUAUUCUUACUUUCCUCUCACCUUUGGACAUUUUAUUUUUGUGAAACUAAGUUUUGGAGGCAAUUCUCUUCGCGCUGAGGAUUUUUGGUAUAGGCCCUGAAGAAAGACCACUGCUCUUUUGAGUUCUUGAGUUCUCUUGGCUCUUACACAUUGCUGAACAAUUGCUCUCAACUGUUAGCCUUGGAUAACAUCUCAAUAAUUCCACACAGUUACUGAGAUUUAGAAGGAGUAGCUAUGAACACGAUUUCAAGAGUAUUAAAGUUGAAGUACCACUUUUGUCUCUGGUAAAUGUGUACAUCUCUCAGCAUUCUGGAAGGGAGCAAAGCUCAUCUGAAGCCCACACAUCCUUUUUGUGUGGCUGUCCUCAAUUAUUUUGUCCUCCACCUUGUGUUGGUAGUGGGAGACAAGCCAUGUGUAAGACCUUGACUUUGUUGAGCCUCAAGAGAUUCCCCUGGGCACACUGCUUGAGCCUAUGUAGGUCUCUCUGAAUGGCAUCCUGUCCUUUGAGAAUGUUGACUGUACCACGCAGCUUGGUGUCACCUGCAAACUUGGUGAGGAUGCACUCAAUCCCACUGUUGAUGUCACCGAUGAGCAUCUAUCUCAGCAGCGAUCCCUUAAAGAUACUGCUUGUCACUGAUCUCCAUCCAGACAUUGAGUCAUUGACCACCACUCUUUGAGUACGAUCUCACAACCAGUUCCUCAUCCACUGAACAGUCCACCUAUCAAAUUCAUGUCUUUCCAAUUUGGGGAGAAAAAUGUUAUGGAGGACUGUAUCAAAGGCCUUACUGAAGUCCAGGUAAAUGACAUUACAGGAUCAGAAUGGUUUGAGUCAGAAGGGAGCUUUAAAGGCCACAGGGUCCAACCUCUCCGCAAUGAACAGGGACAUGAGAGCUCCCAUCUCUGGCUCUUCCCUUGUCCACUGCUGCAAUUACAUCAAUAUUGACUACAUAGAAAACUAGGUUGGUCAGGCAGGACUUGACCUUGGUGAAGCCAUAGCGGAUGUCCCAUAUCACCUCCUUCUCCUCUGUACACCUUAGCAUAGGUUCCAGGAGGAUCUGUUUUAUGCUUCCCUGGCUCCGAGGAGAGGCUGACAGGAUGGUAGUUCCCUGGGUCAUCCUUUCUACCUUUUGUAAAAAUGUGUGUUACAGUAAUAAUGUGACAGUGCACUUCUCAUCAAAAAUCUAAGGAAAUUUAAUGAGUGAUAAAUAUAGGCAUGUCCUGUAUUACACUUUCGGUUCCUCCUGGUUUGACAGCAACUGUCCCAGAAAAGUGCCAUAGAACUAUCAGCUCAUACUUUUUCACCUGAGAAGCCCUCUAUGACUCCCUUUGGAAUGUAGUCAUCUGCUUUUCUGCUUAGCAGUAUUGGGUGAUGAGACAUGAGAG